GCAGUCGAACGAGAACGGGUUAUAGCUUGCUAUAAUUGUCAGCUAAGUGGCGCACGGGUGAGUAAUGUAUAGGUAAUAUGCCUCUUACUAAGGGAUAACAAAUGGAAACGUUUGCUAAUACCUUAUACUCCUUACUAACUAAAGUUAGUAAGGGAAAGAUUUAUUGGUAAGAGAUUAGCCUGUAUUGUAUCAGUUAGUUGGUGGGGUAAUGGCCUACCAAGACAAUGACGCAUAACUGGUUUGAGAGGAUGAUCAGUCACACUGGAACUGAGACACGGUCCAGACUCCUACGGGAGGCAGCAGUGGGGAAUAUUGCACAAUGGACGAAAGUCUGAUGCAGCAACGCCGCGUGGAGGAUGACACAUUUCGGUGCGUAAACUCCUUUUAUAUAAGAAGAUAAUGACGGUAUUAUAUGAAUAAGCACCGGCUAACUCCGUGCCAGCAGCCGCGGUAAUACGGGGGGUGCAAGCGUUACUCGGAAUCACUGGGCGUAAAGAGCAUGUAGGCGGAUUAAUAAGUUUGAAGUGAAAUCCUAUAGCUUAACUAUAGAACUGCUUUGAAAACUGUUAAUCUAGAAUGUGGGAGAGGUAGAUGGAAUUUCUGGUGUAGGGGUAAAAUCCGUAGAGAUCAGAAGGAAUACCGAUUGCGAAGGCGAUCUACUGGAACAUUAUUGACGCUGAGAUGCGAAAGCGUGGGGAGCAAACAGGAUUAGAUACCCUGGUAGUCCACGCCCUANACGAUGUACACUAGUUGUUGUGAGACUUGAUCUUGCAGUAAUGCAGUUAACACAUUAAGUGUACCGCCUGGGGAGUACGGUCGCAAGAUUAAAACUCAAAGGAAUAGACGGGGACCCGCACAAGCGGUGGAGCAUGUGGUUUAAUUCGACGAUACACGAAGAACCUUUACUGGACUUGACAUAGUAAGAACUUU
rnacentral:rRNA from 1 species